CUCGGAGUUUGAUCCUGGCUCAGAUUGAACGCUGGCGGAAUGCUUUACACAUGCAAGUCGAACGGUAGAGGGGGCAACCCCUCGAGAGUGGCGAACGGGUGAGUAAUAUAUCGGAACGUAUCCAAUAAUGGGGGAUAACUAAUCGAAAGGUUGGCUAAUACCGCAUACGCCCUACGGGGGAAAGCAGGGGAUCUUCGGACCUUGCGUUAAUGGAGCGGCUGAUAUCUGAUUAGCUAGUUGGUGAGGUAAAGGCUCACCAAGGCGACGAUCAGUAGCUGGUCUGAGAGGACGACCAGCCACACUGGAACUGAGACACGGUCCAGACUCCUACGGGAGCAGCAGUGGGGAAUUUGGACAAUGGACGCAAGUCUGAUCCAGCCAUUCCCGCGUGCAGGAUG
rnacentral:rRNA from 1 species